AAUUUUUUAAAUAUUUUAAUAUAUUCAUUAUUUUUAACUAUUAAAAUCAAAUUUAUUUAAAAUUAAACCAUUAGUUUUUUUAUUUUUUGUACAAAAUUUUAUUAUUUUAUUUUUAUAAAUGGAAAAUAUGUUUAUUAAAUUAAAUAUUGAAAAAACAUUUAUUAAUUAAUAGAUAAGAAGUUGAUUUUUAUUAAAUAAAACAUUGUAUUGGAUAAAAGUUGAAUAUGCGUUGAAUUUGCGAGGGAUAUUAAAGAUUAAAAACUUUAAGUGUUGAAUGUUAAUAUCAAUAAUCU
rnacentral:lncRNA from 1 species